CCUUCUGCCCAGCCAUUCACGCCUCUCACUGUUUCUCUUUCUCCCUCCCGCCGUGUUUAUAAAGCACGCAUCGCUUCGGUUCCUGAGUGACUCAACCCCGACACCGGUUUUUUAAAACUUGAGGCUUGGAAGGGAGGCCACCCGCUCGCCGCCUCAGCUGCCGGCUGUUUUCAGGGUAAACGCUAACGGGAAGCUCUGAGAAAACUAGAAAGCAGCUGCGUCGUUGUCGCUGGCGGGGGCCCCCUCACCCUGGAGGCAAGCUCUUACGUAAUUGCGGCAUGAACUCCCGCUUUCCGAAGAUCUGGUUAUGCCAAAAAAAAAAAAGGCGGAGGGGGUGUCCAAAAAAAAAAAAAAGGGAAAAAAAAAGCAACCAAGAAAAAGUCCUCACUCACCCACUGACAUGUUUCUCUGGACAGGAUCGAGCAGGUGGGGUGGCAGCGCCAGGCAGAAGAGGAGUUCAUCUUCCCCCGCUCGCCCUCACCAGGCGGCUCUGGCACCAGGAGCUGAUGCCUGCUGACUCCCCGUGGCUGCGUUGGUCCCCGAAGAGGCAGCCUUUGGGGUUAGAAGCACUUUAAAAUCACACAGAAAUCUGCAUCCACGGCUUGAACGCUUACUGUCUUAUGUCUUUCAUGCUAUUGUCUCUUACACUUUUAAUAAUGUCUGUUCCUCUUUUCCGCUGAUCCUUGCACCUUGUACUCCAGCAAAGUCUGCAUGGACUUACCUCCGUUCCCACUUGGCUCUGGGAUUUCUUGAAUCAUAACACAAUUCAACCUUCCAGUUCACCAGAUUCAGAAGGCUCGUUAAUUUCCUGUGAGAUUUAGAUGCCUAUAUCUCUAAAUAUUUUAAAAAAAUAUGUUGUAACCCAAGAUUGUUACCACUACAGUCCUACGUCCCAUUUCUUCUCACUGAAAGUUUGGCUUCUGAAUUUCAUAGGUCAUUUCUGAAAAUGGGAGCAAAAUUGCUUUAAUUGCUAUUGCAAGUUGUAUUUUUUGUCAUUACAGAUAUUAGGAAGCAGAUUGGUCUAGCAGAAGCCACCGGUUCUGAAGCGUACUCUUUAUUUUUGCAAAUUUAAAUUAACAUAUUCUAUACGAUAAUGUGCAUCAUUAUUGUUUGACAAUGUAAUAAGAACUACAAAGGCAGGAGAGAAAAUCUGCCCUUGGAUAUUUGUAGACUUCACAAAUUACAGCUGGGUGAAUUUUUUGAAACAUACUACAAUUCAAAAAACCAAUGACAUAUUAGUGACCCCCAAACUGUUCUGUUUCACUAGAAAAUAAUUUCACUAAAAAGUGGAAGCUGUUUCUAGGAAAAGUCAAAAUCCUUCUAAACAAGUUCUACUUUGAAUUUACCAAAACAAAAUGUUGUGCAUUUUCACUUCAAGAUGGUGUUUUCAUGUUGAAAUUAAUCAAUUCUUUAAGAGAGAAAAGCGAUUAGUCAUCUUGAAACAUUUAAUUUCAGAUAAAAACAAAAUGCUUUCUCUUGACUUCAUAGAAACAGGUUUUCAGAUGUUCGGUUCAGCCAUGGAAAGAGCUCCGCAUGCAGCUCUGUUGUAGGAUGUUUCAAUGUGAGCUGCAAUCUUGCAUCUGACAAGGGAAUUCAGGUAUAUAUUUAACUAGACAGAGGGACAGU
ensembl:lncRNA